UACGGAGGGGGCGAGCGUUAUUCGGAAUCAUUGGGCGUAAAGGGCGCGUAGGCGGCCCCGUAAGUCUUGGGUGAAAGCCCUCGGCUCAACCGAGGAAUUGCCUUGGAUACUGCGGGGCUCGAGGCUGGAAGAGGGUAGCGGAAUUCCCGGUGUAGCGGUGAAAUGCGCAGAUAUCAGGAAGAACACCCGUGGCGAAGGCGGCAUCCUGGACCAAUUCUGACGCUGAGGAGCGAAAGCCAGGGGAGCAAACGGG
rnacentral:rRNA from 1 species